UUUUUUUUGUCAUCAGAUAUUAUUUAGGGCUCAAACGAGCCAAUCUUAAGGAAAGUUGUUUACAUAAGUGAUAUGAAGCGAUUCGGUACGAAUUUUUCGUGCCAAAUAUUCCGCCUUGACAUUUGCAUUACGAGAAAUUAAAGAUAAAGAAAAACUAAUGAAUUCUUCGUUGUCGCUCUGAAACUCCUCCAAAUAAGCUGAAAAUGCUGGCCAUUCGGUUGGGGAAGACACCAUCUUCACCAGGUCUGAACAGUCUAUAAAAAAAGCUACUUCUUGGUUGUCGGCCCCAAUCAUACACUUCAUUGCCCAGGGUAAAGCGUCAACUUCGGCAUGGAGAGGAGAAAGACUUCUACGCAGAUUAGCAGCUCCCAUUGUUGACGUCCCUCCAUUUAAUGAUGUGCAAAACCAACCUAGACCUGAAAACUUUUCGCUUUCUUUCUAUGAACGGUCCAUAAAACAACAAAAGCCAGAGUACACAAUGUCUUGUGAGAUAUCCCUCACCCGGAUUUGGUUUCCCGAUCGAUAUGAGACUUUGUUUU
rnacentral:sRNA from 1 species